GCGGAAGUAGCUCAGUUGAUAGAGCAGCAGCCUUCCAAGCUGCGGGUCGCGGGUUUGAGCCCCGUCUUCCGCUCCA
rnacentral:tRNA from 2 species